GCUCUCCCUUUGGCAGCACGUAUGAUAAAAUUGGAAUGAUACAGAGAAGAUUAGCAAGGCCCCCUGGGCAAGAAUGACAUGCAAAUUCCUGAAGCAUUCCAUAUUCAA
ensembl:snRNA U6 U6 spliceosomal RNA